CGUUCGGGUUUAAUUAGGCCCAUUGGGCCUAAACCCAUUGGGCUUUUAUUCAAGCAUUGGAUGACUUGAAAUAACAAAAGCCCAAAGCCCAAAAACAACACAAAGGGGCCGGCCACUUUAGGUGAGGAAAGGUGAGAUAUUUAGUCAAGUUGUUGACUAGGUUUCUUUUGUCUAUAUAAGCAACUUUAUAAGAUAUUGUUCAUUAGGGUUUUUUGUGAGUUUUGAACAACAAAAGAGGCAAAAGAAAAUAGCCAUCUUGAACCACAAAGGCCGGCCACCAAAGGGGGUUUUUACUAACAUCUCUUACACCCUUUUGGUUAUUCCUUCAUCCUUCUCACUACACUAGUGGGUGAGGAUCUUUAGAGGUUUCCUACUUUGGGAACUUGAAGAGAACCUAGGAGCACUCAUUAUAACAAAGUGGAGGAGGCAAGGAGGGAAGCUAGGCUCAAGGAUUUCAAGGAGCAAAGGGCUUGGAGGUGGUCCAUCCUUGGUCUCAAGUCUAGAUCAAGAGGUAUAAGACUAACCUUCACUUUGUUCUUGAUUCUAAAAUUUGUUUUGAUGCAUUAUAUAUAAACCUAUGAACCUUGAAGGGGAUUUGCAUGACUAUAGCUUUGAUAAUAUGUUAUAAAUGCUUCCGCUGCUUUCGUAUAUUAAAUUUUGAUUUGUAUAUGCAUGAUAGUCAUUAUGAAAUCCCAUGCUAGAAUCUCAUAAUUUCCCUUCAUUAUUCGGGCCCAUUGGGCCUAAACGAAUUGGGUCCUUUUAUUCAAGCGUAGAAUGACUAGAGAUGAUGAAAGCCCAAAGUCCAAACCCACACUAAGGGGCCGGCCAAUACAAGUGAAAGGAGAGAGAGGGAGUCAUGUGGUUGACUCACUUCUUUGACAUUUAUAAAGGAAGUUUAGUGAAAAAGUUUCAUUAAGGUUUUGUGAGUUCUUUUUCACAAAAGAGAAAACAAGUCUCUCUCUCUCUACACACAAAUAGCUGGCCACCAAAGGGAUUUUUAGCUAAUCAUCUUCUCUCCCUUUUGUUAUUCCAUUAUCCAUCUCACUACAUUAGUGGGUGUGGAUCUUUAGAGGUCUUCUACUUUGGAGACUAAAGGAGAAAGGAGCUCUAAAUCUUUCAAGGUGGAGGAAGCUAGGAGGGAGGCUAGACUCAAGGAGUUCCAAGAACAAAGAGCUUGGAGGUGGUCCAUCCUUGGUCUCAAGUCUAGAUCAUGAGGUAUAAAACUAUACCUUCACUUUGUUCUUAAAUAUUUUCUUAGAUGCAUCAUAUAUGAACCUAUGCUUCUUGAAGGGGAUUUAAAUGACUAUAGCUUUGAUAUUAUGUGAUAACAUGCUUCCGUUGCAAAUGUAUAUAAAUUUUGAAUUGCAUAUGCAUGCUAGUCAUGAGAAAUCCCACAUAAAUCUCAUUAUUUCCCUUCACGUUGUACAUUUGAUACACAUCUUUGCAAGCACAUUUGUAGCUGGUAUAUGUGAUAUUGUCACUUUUUACUAGAUCAAAGGAAGUGCCUAGUUAUACUCUGACGAUCUAGAUUGGGAUCGAAAUGAGAAAUAGUGAUGACGUCCACGAUAAUUCGCAUCAUUCUUUAGGAACCUUGACGUUCUUAUCUUCCCCCUAACAACAAGAAGACUGUCUCAUAAAAGUGAGAAUCCACAAAACGAGCGGUAAAGACAUCGCUUGUCAAAGGUUCUAAGUAACAAAUAUUAGAAGGAGAAUCAUAACUAAUAUAGAUUUCCAUCCUUCCAUAAAGACCUUUUUUUUUCUUUUGUAUGUAAAGGCACACAAAAUGGCACAUAGAUCGCACAACCAAAGAUGCGUAGAACGAUAUUUUGGGUUCAUAUCUGGUAACCAACUGACAUGCACUUUAUAAGGUUGGGUCGUGACGGGCCUCGGGUGGAGCAAAAUGGUUGCUUGCAAUAUUGUAUGGCCCCAAACAGAGAUUGAGAACUUGGUAUGUAUGACCAAUCGAUCACGCAAUCAUUUAAAGGCGUUUAAUGAAUGCUUAUGCUGGGUCGUUCUGGGUAUGAACAUGGGGUACUGGAUGUUCCACUUCAAAACCUAAUCGACAUGCAAUAUCCAUCGAAAGUUUUCGAUGUAAAUAAUCCAACUUAUCCAAUCAAAUAGAUUUGAUCAGAUAAUCAGGGUGCUGAGCCCUGAGCUUGUUAAUCUAAGCCACCAGUGUGGAGAAUCUAGCUUGUUGACAACAGCCACACGUGUGACCAACAUGUAGAAGCAUCAACCAAUACCAUAAAGUAUAUAAAUAGUCCGCAGGGUGGUUGAAUCAGUCCACAAAUGUCCGUUUUGAAUCCUUUGUACAAAAGAUGGAGGGUGCUAAGGCAUGAUACGCUUCCAGGUAUGAUGUCUUUACUUCUGGUAAAAGAAUCCCUAAAAUCGCACAUCACAGAUCAUCCUAGAUAUCCCAAAUGUACAUCCAUAGCGAAAAUUCCUUUGGAAUCACAGGUUUCUAACCGGCCACAUAGUGGGCUUGAAUGGGUGUAAUCCACUCGUUAAGCAUUCCAUCUUCUCUAUAAUAUGCUUCUAGCUAUAUUCGUAGGAAGUACAAUAUGGUAAUAUACUAAGGAAUUUUAUUCCAUUUUUUACAUUGGUUUCAAUAUGGUAAUAAUGCUAUCGAAUAUCCUUAAAGCUCAAAGAGGCGUUCUUUCGGAACGAGUGAUUAUAAGGCUCACUUUAUGGUAAAAUUAGUACCAUUGGACAAUAUAGGGCAGUGCCAUGCCCCACAAUCAAAUUGGAUAUGCUUUAAGGGUUGUCAUGGGAUGACUAGGUAUGAAGUUAGCAUAGAACCAGACUGCUAACUUCCCCACAAAACAUACCUAAGCAUGAGUUAAUUGUAUUAGUCACAUGUGGUAAUUUUCGUUAAUUAACUCUUAUUUGAGAAUAACAGUGACAUCCAAACACCAAUCUUAAAUCCAAGAACAAAAUAAAUUAUUCAUAAAGUAAACUGAAUGUACAAAAGGAUUCGGCCAAUAGGCCUUACAUGUCAAAUUUUGCUCUUCCAAAUGUGUUAGGUGGAGAAACAUUAGUCUCACUGAUUGACUACUGGAAUGGUACUCUUCAACAACAUUGGUAGAGGCACAUACAAGUGCAUAACCAAUGAUCUAUUUCAUCAAAACAGAAUUAGAUUAUGUAGGGUUGAGGUUCGGGAGUACUAUAUCUUAUUCUUGAAGUUUUAGGUACAAUGGAUCAUGCUUCGGGCAUGAUACCACCUCUUGGCAGGCCUGAUUUUACCAUUUGUUGUAAAACAAACUUGAAAUAAGAUUGUGAGAGAGAGACAGACCCAUACUCGGGUUUGAUAGGCUCCAGCUGAAAUUGGAGGGGUUUGUUUGGUAAGGCCCUGUGGAAGUAGAGCAAUACCGUUCGGUGCACCUUUGCCGAAGCAAAGCAUACAUGUCAGUGUAUCCCUGCCGAAGCAGGGCACCACCAUUUGAUAGACUCUAGCCAAAACUAGGUCUAUACUGUUCAGUAGCUCCUAACCGAAUUGUUGGGGUACCACUCUUUCACAAGUGUUGUAGUAAUUAGAUCUGAGAAUUUGGUAAACUUCCGCACUCUAUAUUGCUACUUCAAGAGUAAUUUAGACAUAAAAGGACAAGAAAAAAUUCUUCCAGUCAAAAUUUGAUCACAUGUAAACUUCAAAGUUGUACGUAAAGGUUUCAAUCAUGUUUUGCUUCAGGCAAGAAUUUAUCUUUGCAUGAUGUGAAAUGGUCCAUAGCGAGUCAAAGAGCCAUGAAGUCCUCGGCACCGAGGUACUUCCAUUUGAUAUGCUUCAGGCAUAAAUCUUCAAAUGAAGAUCAUGGCGGAGACUUAUUCAGCUCUUCUACACCAUAACUGGCUACAAUGAUUUCGCAACUAGUUAUAGUCGGAUGCGAAAAUUAUCUUAACACACAAAUUUAACCCUCUUUUGACAAUUGUAGUACAAGUAUAAGUAGGGAUCGUUCUGGACUGGGGAUUAGGAGGGCUUGCUAAUAACCUCUAAACUGACUCAAAAACAUAAAACUAAACUUAAAACCACUUAACAAGACUCACAAGACUCAAAGCAAACUUAAAAUACUCAAAACAGCUUAAAACAACCAAAUAAACUUAAACUAGACACUAGGAAUGACUUUGGCCGAAAAUUGACUUUUACUUGAAUCAAAACACUUAAAAACACAAACUAAAACAGAUUUGAAACACUUUGAAACAAGAAACUAAAAGGGGGAUUUUGAUUUGGAUGAAGUUGAAACAAACAAACAAGUAUGAAAACUAGACAGAUUGUAAAACAAAUUUGAGAAAUAAGAUGAUGGAUGGGAUAGCUAGAGGCUUUUUCUCCACACAUGACAUGUAUGCAAAUAAUUCGAUUUCCAGUUACUACUUCAUUGAAUUAUGAACGACAAUGCUCCAAAUUAAUCGUGACAUCACUAGUUAACUCUUAGAUUUUCCUUGUUUUAUUGGAUUGGAUGGCAUCAUUUGACAACCCAAAACAUUCUUCAAAAGUUCCCUACAUGACAUCAUAAUAGAGAUACAAUCAAAGAUCAUUACAUUUAAUGAAAAUCAUAAGCAUUGACAAAGCACUCGCAACUAUGACAUCAUGUUGCUUAUGCUAGGAAUUGAACUUAACGCGAUCAUUUAUAAGCGACCUUCACUACAUGUGAAUAUAAGUUUGUAAUGAUUAUGUGAAACUUCCUUAUAUUCUAGCAACGGAUUUAUGCAUGCCAAUUAAGUGUCGACCCUUAAUUAACAAAUACAAAUAAGUUAUCAAUCAAAUAGUUAAGCCAAUUGCAUUCACGAUUCAAGAGUUCAUAACUGGAAUUUAUCAAAUUAUAUUGCAAACAUAAUCAUGGCUUUGAAAUCACCCCUAGCCAAGAGGGGUUUAGCCACUCAUAUUUACAACAAAACGAAAGGAAAUGAAUUUAAACAUUAGAAACAAAAGAAAGAAAACACCUAAACGCUCCAACGAUCCAAGUUGGACAGCAAGCACGUCCAAGCACUCUCAUUCUGAUGCGAAAAUUUACUUCACACACAAAUUAAACCCUCUUGUAUCAAUUGUAGUAAAGAAUGUAAGUAGGGAUCGUUCUGGAAGGGGAAUAGGAGGACUUGCUAACAACCUCUAAAUUGACUUCAAAACAUUAAAAAAAAGUUAAAAACACUAAACUAGAUUCAAAGAACUCAAAACAAACUCCAAAGGCUCAAAACAAGCUAAAAACGCUCAAAUCUGCCUAAAAACACAAACUUGGCAGAUUUGGACUCUAAACACACUUUUGGACGAACACACUUUUGGACGAAUUUUGGUUUUAACUUGGUUUGAAACACUUAAAAACACAAACUAAAUCAGUUUCUAACUAAUAUGACGCAACAAGGUAAAGGGGGUUUUGGUUUUGACGAAAUUGAAAGCAAAACAAGUAAAUUAAAGAACUAAUGAAAUCUGCACGAAUUUGAGUAGAUUGAAUGGAUGGAAGGCUAGCUAGGAGGUUAUUCUCCACACAUGACACACUUGAAAACAAAAUGAUUUCCAGUUGCUUUUCAAUAAACUACGAAUUCUCAACGCCCCAGAUUAACUAUGAAUUAUACUAAUUAACCC
rnacentral:lncRNA from 1 species